AUAAGUGCAGAUGUGAAGUUUCAGCAAUAAUAUGUGCAAUUUUUAAAAUUUGUAAGAAUUUCACUCAUCCUCUCUCUCUAUAUCUAGAGAUAUAUAGGUGUCAUGUGUGAAAAACUAAGAGAGAGAAAGAGUGAAAAAUUGAGAGGGAGAAAGAGAGAGGAGAGGAUGUCUCGUCACAGGCGCCAAGCCUCUCGAAGUAUUAGUGAUAUUAACAUUUCCUCGGCUCUCAUCACUGCUACUGAAGAUGUUUCGCCACCCAACUCCACCACCACCACCUCCUCCCCUCAAAAUCUGCUUCCAAAAGGAGGAGAGAUGCUGAAAAGUGGGCAAUCUGGGCCACCGGAAAACCAGUCGCGGCCCUCAGAUGCUGCAUCCAACGCUGGCAAAUCCCCUCGGCCUCCUCCACCAACGAAUCCUUGAGUACUGCUGCUUUUCUUUGCUUUGUUGCACUGGGAGGCACCUCUCUCUCUCUCUCUCUCUUGUUUNNNNNNNNNNNNNNNNNNNNNNNNNNNNNNNNNNNNNNNNNNNNNNNNNNNNNNNNNNNNNNNNNNNNNNNNNNNNNNNNNNNNNNNNNNNNNNNNNNNNNNNNNNNNNNNNNNNNNNNNNNNNNNNNNNNNNNNNNNNNNNNNNNNNNNNNNNNNNNNNNNNNNNNNNNNNNNNNNNNNNNNNNNNNNNNNNNNNNNNNNNNNNNNNNNNNNNNNNNNNNNNNNNNNNNNNNNNNNNNNNNNNNNNNNNNNNNNNNNNNNNNNNNNNNNNNNNNNNNNNNNNNNNNNNNNNNNNNNNNNNNNNNNNNNNNNNNNNNNNNNNNNNNNNNNNNNNNNNNNNNNNNNNNNNNNNNNNNNNNNNNNNNNNNNNNNNNNNNNNNNNNNNNNNNNNNNNNNNNNNNNNNNNNNNNNNNNNNNNNNNNNNNNNNNNNNNNNNNNNNNNNNNNNNNNNNNNNNNNNNNNNNNNNNNNNNNNNNNNNNNNNNNNNNNNNNNNNNNNNNNNNNNNNNNNNNNNNNNNNNNNNNNNNNNNNNNNNNNNNNNNNNNNNNNNNNNNNNNNNNNNNNNNNNNNNNNNNNNNNNNNNNNNNNNNNNNNNNNNNNNNNNNNUCUCUCUCUCUCUCUCUCUCUCUCUCUCUCUCUCUCUCUCUCUCUCUCUCCUUUUACAAUUCGCAGAACAUUAAAUAUUUUCCUAAGCCUUUAUAACAUUUCAUGUAAAUCGCGUAUUGUUGUUGAAUUGUGUCUUUUUAUCUUUGCUUUAUUUCUUGCACACGAUUUACUGUUAUAUUCAUUUAUUUUGUAUUUAGCUAAUUGUGUAUACCAUUUUGGUAUAGAACUCGGUAUUUAGGAUUCUUGGUUCUAUAAGCUAACGGUUAAUGAGAAACCCAAAAUUUUAGCAAUAGAAAAACCCUUAAAAGUAUAAAGAAAUUGUUUAAAAAUACAAAAAUUUUGAACAAUUAUUUCAUGAACAAUUAUUUCAUGCGGGCUAGACUGUAUUUCUACAAUAUACAAUCCAGAGGUAUAAAGCAUCCAUCUUAAAGAUGGAUGCAAAUAAGUGGUCCAUCUCAAAACAGUUGUAGCUAACAGUCCAAAUAUUUUCUUGAUAUAAAUAUCAUAUCUAGUUUUUCAAUUUUUUUUAUUCAUAAUCUCAAUGUUAAAGAUUAUAUAUACUCUAAAAAUUAGGAUCAAAUUAUAUUUAAAAAUAUAUAUUUAUUGCCAAGCCUGUAUUUUUACAAUAUUCGGGCUGGCCGUAUGCUAAUCGCAUCCUAUGUUAUUUAGAGAUAUGAUUUAGAUUGUUUUUAAGAUGAUUUAGGAAUUUUAAUUUUUAAAAAAAUAUUCAAGAUACAAAUCAACAAUUUCUAAUCAUCCAUCUUGUAUACAUCUUGUAUAGAUUUGUUUCAUCCUCUUUAGUUCUUUAUGGCUCUUUUAAUUUUUUUUCAUUUUUAACUGUUUUUUUGCUAUUUUUUAACUAUUUUUUUAUACGUUUUGUUUUUCACUUUUUUUAACAAUGUUUUUGGGGGUGCAAGGGCCUAUAUCCAGUCUCGGCCGGGUUACUCCCCUCUGCCAAGAGGUGGAGUACCGUGGCUUAGGAGAGCUUUGAAACACUAUACGUGAUCAGGUCUUGGGUCCCACUCUACUCCCAUCACAGUGCGAAACAGUGACUGGACGACGAUAAACUCGUGAGUUACGACAAUAAAAACGUUAUAAAUGUCUUGUGUACCACACAGGUUGCAAAGGCAAGCUAUCUAUUGUCCUUAUUCGCAGAAAAUAAGAUGAGAAGAUUGCAGUUGGGGAAAUAUAUACCGAGACAAUUUACUUUUUGGGCAAGGUGGUUAUAAUCAAUUUGCAUGUGAAAUUCGGUAGCUGCAUUUAUUUCAUGAAAAAAGUUUAUAUAUGGUUGCAAUUUUACCUCUACAACUACGGAUGCACCUCAAAAAUCCAUCGGAAAAGAUAGUUUUGAUAUUGAAAACUAUCUCAACAUCGAGAUGUAUGACCAUGAAAAAUAAAAAGAUUUUAAGUCUCAGAAAUUGAGUAUUUUACAACAUAUUAUCUACACCAUCCAUUUUCAAUAUUUAAAUAUGUUUAUUGAUCUAUUUUAACCAUUUUUAAAAUUUUAAAUUUUAUAAUUAAAUAUAAAAAUAAAUUUUGAGAUAAUCCUAAAAACAUUUUACAUCAAAAAUUAUAUACCAUGAUAAAAUUUGAAGGUGCACUUUACCUCUACAGCUACGGAUGCAUCUAUAUGCCAACUGCAUUUUUAUUUCAUUGACCAAGCUCAAAGUUCAAAAACAAAAAUUUGAACUUUGUGACACACCCAAACUAUCAAAUUUCACGUCGGAUGGUUGUAAGUAAUUGUGAUCUCCCUGUAUCAAAUGUAAAUGGUUGCAUCGUAUACAAUCUUGUUGGUUGAUGAUGAGGACUGCUAAAAGCCAAUUUUUUAACCUAGAAAAAUUUAGGUGACCUGCACACAUCACAAUACACGUGCCUAUCAAACACUCACAUGUUAUGUAGAGGAGGGAAGGAGCCAUGACUGUGGAAACCGACUUCUAUUACACAUUAUAACUAUCCUUAUUGGAAAGUUAUUGGUGGGUAUGCCAUUUUAAUGGGAUAUUUAUUUUGAUUAGUCCUAUGGUUUGUGUCGGAGGGCACAAACCAUUCAUUCAAAGAUGGAUAUAGAUGAUGGUCCCCGCAAAACAAAAGUAAAAAUAAUGGUUUAAUAAUUUUUUAAAAUGUCAUUUUUAAUUUUAAAAAUUUAUUUAUUUUAUACAUUAUCAUGGUCACCAUAUUAGCGAUCAUCAUUUUCAUCAUCAUCAUCAAAAAAAUUUUACCAAACAUGUUAGGGAUUAUAUAUUUCUAGAUACUAGACUCAAAAACUGUGUCCUUUGUUUUAUAAUAUAUUGAGAUUUAUAAAUAGAAAAAUUUUCUAUGAAGUUCUUCUAAGAAUCAAUAUUGAGAUGAUUUAAGACAUGAAACAUGUCCAUCAAGAUUUAUAAACGUAGAUUUGAUGACCUGAGAAAAUUAAAAUGAGCAAUCCAAAAAACAAAUUUUAAAAUUGUCUAUUUCUUAAGGCUGAUACCAUUUCUUUUGUUUUUUUUUUGUUUUUGGCAUAGUAGUGAUUUUGAUGGUUGAGAUCAAUGCUAAAUUAUUUGACUCAGGUGCAGGAUUCGAAACCUGCCUGAGCUGGUAAAUAACAGAGCCGAACAACUCAACCAGCCUGGUUUUCCUUUCUGUUUUGGGGUAAUUUCGUGGGGGAAGACAAGCCCCUACCUGUUUUAGUAUGCAUAUUUUAUGUUUCCAAUGUACCCUGGUGGCAAUAUAGUAACUCGCAUUGGCCUAUGACCGAGUAAUUCGGUCGAGUUCUAAAUUUUGAAAGAGAAUACAUUCGGUUGAAGCCUUCGGAUUUUAAGUUUAAACCGAAGAGAAGUGAAACUUAGUACUACCGCUUCGGUUAGAUUUGGACCGCUUCGGGGUGUUCUGGUAAGAUUUGAGUAUGCUUCGAGCCAAUUCGGCCGAAGCUUCGGCUUCUUCAGCCUCAGCAAAAAAAAAUCUAUAUAAAAGUAUUUUUUAAAACAAAUUAUUUAUUUUAUUUUAACUUUUCAUAUUUUUUUUAUAUACUUUAUAUAUAAUAUAAUUUAUUUAUAUUAAAUUACAAAAAAGGUCCAAAGACUUCCCCUAAAUUGCCCGAAACACCGAAUUGCUUCAUUUUUUUCUCCAAAUCAAAUAAGAAUCUGAAGGGAAUAUGACAACAUUGUUUAAAACUAUUAAGCGACAAAAUUUGAAGUCCAAAAUCUUUCUAACACAAACAUAUAAACCGGUGUAUGGCUGACCAAAACCCCAUCCUUUUUACAUUGUUUAUCGUGGAAUAAUUUUUUAUUAAGAUUAAUAAAUGUAAAUUCGAUUAUACAAUACAAAAAGGAUAAAUUUGGAAAAAAUUAUGAAUUAUAAAAUCCAUAAAAGUUUCCUUUCUUUUUUUUUCUUUUGACCAAGAAUCCAUAAAAGUUUCUGUGUAUAACAAAUUAUCAAAAAAUUCCUAUCCAACUUAGUAGUUUUAACUUACACAUACCUUACUAAUUCAUUAUAGUUGGCACCCCAUAUACUUUAUUUAGGUUUUGGAGCUAUUUUUAGAGAGGUGCAGAUUUUUUCAUAAAUUCAAAACGCUAAUUUUGGUUUCAAAUUACAUAAAUGUUACAAUGGGGAACAUUUUAACAUCAUCAUGUGUAUGGAAAUCCUUAUAUAAAUUUUUUCCCAUAUGGGUGCGCUCUUCCAAUACAGAUACAAAAUAAAAUAUGAAAUUUGACACUGUAAAACAAUUCGCUCUUAGUACAGGAAGGUUACAAUCAAUUAACCUUAGCUAUUGAACAUAAAAUCCAACUACCUAGAUCCAAGAAAUUUUAUUUUGAGUAUUGUGCCCAAUAAAAAACAUACCCUUAGCCACUCAAUUUUACAUCUAAUGACUAAUAGUAAUUGUGAAUUUGUGACCUCCUUAUGGUGAAAAUAAACAUUCUCAUUGUAUAUUUCUCGAACAGUGACUUCGAAUUACAAAGUAUUUCUCCAUUUCCCUAAAAUUUCUUUGAAAACUCAUCUAAUUGAGCUCAUUAUCAAAAUGUAACGAUGAUUAGCCAAAUAAUGCCACCCUAAUCACACAUUAAAAGGUGCGGUUUGUAUAGAGAUGAUGCUCUAAACAAUCAAAGUAAAGCGCACUUUCAAAAAGAAUCGCAAAAUGUGGUUUCGAUACUGAAAUCUUUGUGAUAGCUUUAAAAUACAUUUUCAUCUUUAGUUAUAAAAUUUAACGCUUCAAAAAUAGUAUAGAUAAGUAGAUCUAUGAAAACUUGAAAAUAUUGAAAAUUGACGGUAUAAAAAUGCGUUACAAGAUGCAUUAAUUCUAAAACUUGAAAUCCAUUUUUUCUCAUGUCCAAGCGUCUUGAUUUUGAGAUGAUCAAUUUGAAAAUAUUUUGGCAUCAAAACAACCUCUUCUAGUGAAACUUUUUAGGAGGCUCUAAUUUGAUUGUUUAGAGUUUCGGCUUUAUAUAAACAUUUGCCCUCAUUAGAAAGCCGGUUCAUUUAUUAUUCUCUAUUUCGUUCAAUAAAUGAGUUAAAAUGGGAAUGUGAAAAGGAAAAUGGUUUCAUAGGGCUGCAGCCCUAUCAAAAUUAAGUAAAGCCUCAACUCAAAAUUCAUCAAAAAUUAUAAUUCAAGCAUUGGAACACCUUUACAUUGAUCAUCUCAGCUUGACCAUAUCAGCUUGAAAGAAAAAAAUUAAGAUUUUAAGCUCUAAAAAUCAUGUAUAUUGUAACAAAUUAUCUAGACCAUCCAUUUCACCCUAAAAUUAAGUGUUCAUAGAUCCGCAAGAUGUAUACCAUUUUUUUAGUUUCAAAGUUUAUUAUCGGUGUUGGAAAUUGAUUUAGAUCCAUCAUGAGAUUUCCAUUGCCGAAAGUACUUUCCAGACGAAGAUUUGAAGUGAGACUUUAUUUUGUUUUCAUAAAGCCUAGGCUCUAUAAAAACUUCAUCCAUGUGAAAAAAAAAAAAAAACACUUGAAACAUAAGAUCAUUUAAAUAGAUAGUGUAUGAUAAGUUAAAAACAGUAAUUCCGACCUGAAUAGGAAUUCUACUCAAAGUUAGAUAGCUUUCAUUAGAAGAAUAGUUAUUUGUGUUAAAAAGAAGAAUAGAGAAUGGAUCAUAUUUAAGAAAAUUCAAUCAAAAUAACUAAGAGAAAUUAGAUAAUUGCAUAAAGAAUAUCAAGAUAUUCACAUUAAAUCAAAUAAAAAUAAUGCAUGAAUCUAUAAUUUAAAUUAAAUAAUUAUAAAUUUUGAAGUAGUUGGCUGACAAAUGUCAUGUCUAAUUGUCUAUUUCCAUUUACAAUCAAUCUCACUUUAGUUUUAAUAAAAAUAAACUACACUGAAGAAACCCGAAAGAGAGAAGAAACACAAGAUCAAAAAACAAAAGAUUUAAAGUUAAAACUAUUUGGCAGAAGCUUCCCUACCAAUUAGAAUUCCAAUUCAAACAGCUUCUUAUCUCUUCCCGUACAAGAUGGAUGCUUAUAAAGAUGAAAUAGAAAAGGAAAAUUAUUUUAAUGCAGGCUGGACCGCAUUUCUACAUCAUAUCGUCCCAAGGUAUGAAGCAUCCAUCUUUAAGAUGGAUGCAAAUAGGUGGUCUCUUUAAAAACAACUGAAACUAACUGUCCAAAUGUUUUCUUCAUAAAAUCAUUAUUUUUUAUUUUUUAGAUUUAUUUAUUUUUUUAUAUUCAUUAUCUCCGUAUUAGAAAUUAUGUCCUAAAAAAUAGGGUCCGAAAAUCCGUCUCAAAAACAGAUUUUCAAGAGUCGACUAAUUUCUACAAGGACUCAUAGAAACCAUGUCCAAUAGAAAAUGAUUUGAAAUCCACGUGCUCUCUCUCUCUCUCUAGCUUUAACAUGUAUUAUUAGGUCAUUUAUUUCACAACAGAAAACAUCAAUCCCUUGUUGCACAAGUAAAUGCAGCCACACAAUAAUCAAAACGGCAAGCUUUCGAUGUUUUCAACCGUCCACUAUGUUAGGUCAUUUAUUUCACAACAGAAUACAUCAAUCCCUUCUUGCCCAAGUAAAUGCAGCCACACAAUAAUCAAAAGGGCAAGCUUUCUAUGAUUCCAACCGUCCAUUUUAUAUGGAGGACUAAGAUUGCUCCAAUCACAAUGUCACAUCCCUACACUAUUUUAUUUUUUUCUAUAAACUAGUUUGACACCAAAUUUUGGACGUUCGAUCUUCUAUUCAACUCGAACUAGCGAAAAAAUAUAAAAAAAAUAUUUCCAAUAAAAUAAAAUGACCAAAAUACCUGUAAAAGUUUCAAAAGGUAUUUUGAUCAUUAAAUUUUAUCGAAAAAUUAUUUUUGAUAUUUUUUAUAAGUGCACCCCAAUGAGAAGAUGACACAUACCAAAUUUCAUAUUCAUACCAUUUGUAUAAAAAAACUAAAAAUAAAAUACUUUGAGACGCCAGAUCUAAGAUCAAACGGUGAGUGGCUCUCUUGAUCAAAAUUGGAUGGCUGGAUAGUAGGGGAAGCAUAGAUCUUCUAUACUGUAGGGGAAGUAUAGAAACCUUUCCCUAAUCAAAAUGUAUUUAGGGUUAAUGAAGAGUUCAUCGCACAUUGAUGAGCCAAUAAAUCAGCUUUUUUAUUUGCUUCUCUAAGCGCUUGAUUAAGCUAGUGGCAUGUUAGUGCAUAAAUCUUCUAUUUCUCUAAUAAUAUUAGACAAACCCCAUAGAAUGUGCUACACACCUUUUACACCAUUUAACUACAUCUACAAAGACUCCAACUAUAAUACACUUCUAUAGAUGUCCAAGACUUUAUGACCAUGUGAAGUGGCCCUCAUCUCAACUUCAUUAGCUGUAACAUCACCCACUGUCACUAAAAAAUGUAUACAAGAUAGAUCCUUAAUGAUCACGGAUAAGCCCUCCAACUCCCUCCGCACCUGGAUCUCCAAAGGACCAUCCAUCAUAAUGCAUUUCCUAUACACCUUCAGGAGGUAGCAGCAAUAUUUGUGCUUUUCAUUUCUUCUUAACAUUUAGCUUUGGAAUUCUAUCUAGCCUAUACAUAAGAUCAGUACCAGUAACACCCUAACAUUCUAUAAUUAUGGAUUCCCAAUAAGCCACUUGCUCUCUAAUUCUUGCAAUCAACCUAUCCACCUCAAGACAUAUGCUUUCGCAAGUUCUUCUAUUUCUCCCCUUCCAUACCUCCCACAACAAAGUUGCCUGCAUUAUCUUCCACAACAUAUUUCUUAACUUCGCCACCAGAUCAAUGUUCAAAGCAUCAAAUGCCUGAAUAGCUUCUUGUACUCGGUGCAUCUAUUGUUAACUACUUAUCUAAUAGUUAAAUCCACAUGAAAACUUGGACUCUGUAUGGCACAAGAAGCUUUCAUACCUGGCAAACUUUGGCUCCCUCCAUCUCAAUUAUCAUCGAAAAACAACUCAUAAAGAGAUCUAACAGAAUAUUCACUAUCAAUUGUAGCAUCCCAAAUGGCUUCAUUUGAAGCCCUUGCACUGAAAUAGUAAUGCUGUUAAAUAAAGUACGCAUGAUGCAAUUGAUUAAUAACAGUAUCAGAUACUCUAUUGUCUCUGUGAGCAAAGGACCAUACUGCAUUAUGCCCCAAACAGUCAACCGAAUUGGCCACUAAAAUAUACAUAUUAUGUGCAAUUUGAUAUAACUCCGGAAACAAGAUCUUUAAAGGUCUGCCCCUAUUUGGUGCCAAAACAACGUGGAAUCUCCUCUCCCUACUUUCAUUAGAAGAUUCCGAAGGAAAACUGACCUUAUAGCUCAGCAUACCUCUGCAUAUUGGUGAAUCCUUGAGACAUUUCCAAUAUGUUGGGUGACCCUAUUCAUACUAUACUUCCAUACAAGCAACUCCUUUCAUAAGUGGUUCCUUGGUUGGGUACUUCACCACAACUGUUUAGCCAUCAAUUAUAUAUUCACAUAUUUUAAUCUUCUUAUACCCAAACCCAUAUUUUUGGGGUGAACAAACCUUUUCCAAAGCAACUAGAUGAAUUGUAUUAUAGUACCCUUCUGUCCCCAAUUUUGGCAAAAAAAUGUGGAAUCUCCUCUCCCUAAUUUCAUUCGAAGAUUUGUAAGGAAACUCACCUACAGCUCAUAAUACAUCUCCAUAUUGUUGUAGUCUUGGAAUCCGAUGAGAAAUUUCCAAUAUUCUUUGUGUCCCUAUUCAUACCAUACUUCAAUGCCAGCAACUCCUUCCAUAAGUGGUUCCCCAGUUGAGCACUUCACAACUAUUUAACCAUCAAUGAAAUAUUCAUAUAUUUUAAUCUUUUUAUACACAAAUCCCCAUGUUUUUUGGGCGACAAAUAUUUAGCCUUCUGUAAAUCAAGCUUAAACGAAUCAUUGGGUCCCAGAUUGAUCUCAAUAUUCUCGAUUCGGUUAAAGGGCAAAUCAGGUACCUCAUAUGUUCAUAGGAAACUUAUCGACUCCACACCCCAAUAAAUCAGCCAACUUGGUGAUCUCCUGCUCUCUACAUGCAAUACCCACCGACUUAGUUUUCUGUAGACUAACCUUUAAACUUGAAACUACUUCAAAAUACUUUAGAAACCUUUUUUCGAUAUAUGGAAGUCUGAGAAAAGUCAUACAUCUUCCUUUUUUUUUUUUUUUACUGUCGUAUGUCCUCGAUGGGACAGAAAAGUCAUGCAUCUUCAACACUGAGAAACAUCACACUGAAAGAUUCAGGCACGAUAGUGAACAGAAAAGGGGUCAACGGAUCCCCUCAUCUGACCCCUCUACUUGCCUUGAAGAAUCCCUCAGGACUUCCAUUAAUUAAAAGAAAAGUGAGUGAAGGAUGAACAAAACAAAUUCCAACUUUCCAUAUCUCACAGAAACCCAUAAUCAUACACUAUCGCAAGACACCCGUAUCAACUCUAUUAUACGCCUUCUCCAAAUCUAAUUUGCAAAUUACCCGUCGUCUAUUUACCACUCUCCUAGAAUGAAUGCACUUUUGAGAAUACUACCAGUGAUUUGUCUCCCAUGAAUGAAAGUUGAUUGGGGACCUUUAAUCACAUAGCGAAGGGCACCUUUAAGCCUUUAAGUCAGAAGGUCUGUUAUAAUAAUAUAAAAGCUAGUCAACAAGCUAAUGGGUAUGUCAUUCAAAUCUCCAAUUGUACCCUUCUUAUGAAUUAAAGUUGUGUCAGUAUAACUGAGAGCCUCAUUGAUCUUGUCUCGAUGGAAAAACUCCUGGAUCGUAAGGAUUCUAUCCUUAUUCAUUGAUUCCCAAUGUCGACAGGAAAAAAAAAGGCAAGGAAAGAACCAUUUGGACCUAGAGGGCUAUCACCUGAAAGGCUCCAAAUGGCGUCCUUAAAUUCAGAUUCAGAGAAAGGCUUCUCAAUUUCCAGAGCAACAUCUUUUGGCAGUUUCACUAAAGUGAACUUGUGCUAAGUUAGAAUUAGGUGUACUUUCAGCUUGAAAAUAUUUCUCGAAAUGAUCCACAAUAGCUCUCUUAACUCCUGAAGACCUCCAUCCUCCACUCCAAUCCUAAUACCGAUGAUACUAUUUGAUCUCCUCCUUGAACCAGCAAUUGAAUGGAAAAGCACAAUAAUUAAAUCCACUUCUUUUAACCACUUCACUUUCAAAUGUAGGUGCCAAUACAUUUCUUCUAAUAUAAGCACUCCAGCAACUUAUUCUUUACUUCAAUCCUUUCCAAAAUUUUCUCAUAGGUAAGAACUCGCUGCUCCUCUUUCUUCUAUCCAUAUUAGAGAUUUUUCCUAGGAGGCUCUUCGUUUCUAUCUAUAGUAGAGGUUUUGCCUAGGAGGUUAGUUAUCUUAGACCUGAAAUUAGGGGCACUUUCUUUUUUUAUCUUCUAAAUUUAUCCUUUAAAAAUUGGAGCUUCUUUGUUAAUUUAAACGCAUACCACCCAAAAACUAUUGAAUUAAACCACAUCUAUUUCAUCAUAUAUGUGCCUUCUUAGUCCUGUAGCCAACACAUUUCAAUUCUAGUAGAAGGACCCGAAGUACAAUUUUCUAUAUUACGUAAAACAAUAGUAUGAUCCGAAGAUAAUUUGGGAUAGACUUUCAAAGAGACCAACAGGAAGGUGGACUCCCAAGAAUUUGAAACCAAGAAACGGUCUAACUUCAAAAAGGAAGGUUUUUUAAAAUUAUUAUUUAUCCAAGUAAACUGAGUACAUUGCAGGAAUCUCGAUCAGCUCAUUCAUCAUGAUAAAGCCAUUGAAGGCAUGCAUAUAGGGCGUAAUACAAUUUCUACUACUAGACUCAUUUGGCCAAUGAGUUAUGUUAUCCCCAGCUAUACACCAAGCUAAUUGUUCGACAUAUCAGCCAUUUCUUGCAAAAACAGGGAUAUGAUAGCUGGAAUAUUAUGCCCAUAAACAUGCAAUAAGAACCAUUUAAAGUUAAGCAUGUGGUUGCUCAAAAACUAUAGAAACAAAUAUUUUCCCUAUAAUAGAUUUGGAUCAUUUAUUACUGAAGAUUCCAAGAAAACCAAUACGCCCUUAAAAAGCCAUCAGAAUCCUCACAUACACGUUCCACUGAACACCUUCCCCAAACAACAAGCACACUCCGAAGGUCCGGGCUUGGUAACUUGGUUUGUUGCAACAACAAAAUGCCCGGACAGUGACACCUAAACAGCAACAAGACUUCCUUUUUCCUUUGAUCGUCUCAAUGCCUCAGAUAUUCCAACACAGAAUCUUCAUCCCAACUCCCAUGUCCAGUGGUUCACCUGCAGGCACGGAUGAAUCUGAAUCAGCCUUGAAUGAGAAGCUUUCCCCAUGCCCCUGGUAUUGAAACCCAAUUCUAAGCACAGAAGUUCCCUAUUCCAUUUAAAUUGCUUCUUCCUCUCCGUAAUCCCGACCGCACACCUUUCCCAUCAUUUAUAGCAUAUGCAAACUAUGUGAUUGGUUCCUCUGUAAUGACUCAGCCCCCAAGCCUCUGUUCCGAUUCAUCCUGGGAAUCCUUUUAAUUAGAUGUGUCCUCCUUGCUUUGAUUUAGGUGGUUAAUGUUUACCCCCAUGUUCGCAACAUCACCAUGGUGCAUUCAUCAGUACCACUCUCCAAUGGCUUAACAGUGGCCAACGGUUGAACGUUCUCCAAAACUCCCCUCACAACCACAUUGACAAGACCACCUGGUGGCUGCCGAGGUGGCCGAAUCAGAACUACUGCCCACUACUUAGGCUCUAGAUAAACCAUAGGGAUUUUGGACCAAUUAAAGGUACAUGUUUCUUCCUAUAUCUUUCAGAUACACACUUCGUAUUGGCAGGUAUCUCUCCAGAACCACCAAUCUAGGAUGACUGACUGAACAAUUGAGAUAUUAUCUUUGUAGCUUUCUCUCUACAAGUUUUACUCAAGGUCUUCUCUUUCUCUUUAGAUGUUAAAUCUCUCUCCAGUCGUUUCCCCUUCCAUAUUAUACAUGGAAUACUACGGAUAGAAUACGAGGUAAAGUUACUUUUACUCACUCACUUCUCCUAACUAUUCCAUUAAUGAUAUGUUCUUCAAAUGCUAUCCCAUUUCUUCUUGCUGAUCCAAAAUACAGGACUUAUUAAAACUGUAAAAGUAUUAUCCUUACAGCCGAUAUCCAUAAUGUUCCCGCAGCUCAACUACUCUCAUGCACCACAGUAUCACAAUUUUGAAGAAUAGCAAAUGUUUCAUUAUUCUCACCUCUAAGCAUAAUUGGCCUCUCUCUUGGGCCCCAUACCUUUUUGAAUUCAGAAACCUCUAAAUUUGAUAUAUAUUAAUUACUUUUCCAUGUGUAUCCCUCCUGGUUCCUUUCAAGCUCCCCAUUGACUAAGCCUUCAAUGAGGAAUCUUUGUUGUUCCUAUGCAAAUCACCCCCUGCCGAAAACACUAACAUCUGUUUUUUAUUAUAUCUUAAAAGAGAUAUAUCUGAGAAUCUAAUGGGGUGAGGAUUAGUAUUUUGAUUAUAUCUUAAAAGAGACAUAUCUGAGUCAGCCUUCAAGAUAGGGAAUCUUGGAAGGGGGUCACCUAUGUAAAGGGACAUUGUAGAGAACUCUUGAGCCAUCUCCAUCAAUAGGCUGGGGGAUUUGAGCUAUGUAUAUCAUACUAAUUUAUGUAAUCAAAAGUUGGCCCAAAGUUGUAGGCAUCAAACUCUCGAACCAAAAUAACCGUAGUCUAAAGGAAUGACACCAAGCGUAAGACGGUAAUGGAAUCUAAAAAAAUAUGUAACCUCUAUCUUAUCCUUUAAUUUUGUGUUUCCGUUGCAUUUGGGAUUCAUUGACAAAUCCAAUACACCUACCCUAGCCUGAAAACAUAUUCUUCUUUACCACAAUCCAAUCAUGUAAUCUACAGAGGUUUUCUUGAUUUAGAUGAAUUGGGAAUCUCAUUACCUCUGCGAUCUACAAACUCGUUCUAAUCUUAAUAUUUUCUUGGACAAUGACAAUGGAACACACAUCUUCGACUUUCAAUAAUACUUUCUCAGAAAUAGAUGUGCCUAAUAUUUUUUUCAAUUUUAAAUAUUAAACAACCCACAGAAUCAUCAGUAACUGAAUUUUAAUCUAUUUCCAGAAAUUUAGCACAUGCAAUUGCUAUUUCUUUAAACACUCAAAAUUUCAAAGCAUGCAGCACAUGUAGAGGCAAACCCUCUACUCUGCACUGGACUAUUUUUGGGGCCCUACCCUCUCUUUGU
rnacentral:lncRNA from 1 species